UAUUAAAUGUUCUGAUAAUCAUUAUCAUUGGAUCAAACAAUACAUUUUUAAUGAAAUUUGUUAUACGAUAUAAAUAAUAUCACAUGUGAUAUUGUAAAAUGAGACAAAUAUACGAACGGAAUUCGUUUACUCACGCUGCAGUUGUUUUUUGUCUUCUAAAAAUGUAUGUUUUACUUGCAGCUGUGCAUGCACAUUUGGUACAAAUG